rnacentral:rRNA from 1 species
UACUUAGGUGGCAAGCGUUGUCCGGAUUUACUGGGCGUAAAGAGCGCGCAGGCGGUCGUUCAAGUCGCGUGUGAAAGCCCCCGGCUCAACUGGGGAGGGUCACGCGAUACUGAUCGACUCGAAGGCAGGAGAGGGAAGUGGAAUUCCCGGUGUAGUGGUGAAAUGCGCAGAUAUCAGGAAGAACACCCGUGGCGAAGGCGGCUCUCUGGUGCGUGACUGACGCUGAGACGCGAAAGCGUGGGGAGCAAACAGG